UACAGGGGGGGCAAGCGUUGUUCGGAAUUACUGGGCGUAAAGGGCUCGUAGGCGGCCAACUAAGUCCGACGUGAAAUCCCAAAGCUUAACUUUGGAACUGCGUCGGAUACUGGAUGGCUUGAAUCCGGGAGAGGGAUGCGGAAUUCCAGGUGUAGCGGUGAAAUGCGUAGAUAUCUGGAGGAACACCGGUGGCGAAGGCGGCAUCCUGGACCGGCAUUGACGCUGAGGAGCGAAAGCCAGGGGAGCAAACGGG
rnacentral:rRNA from 1 species